GAUGAACGCUGGCGGCGUGCCUAAUACAUGCAAGUCGAGCGAACGGACGAGGAGCUUGCUCUUCUGAUGUUAGCGGCGGACGGGUGAGUAACACGUGGAUAACCUACCUAUAAGACUGGGAUAACUUCGGGAAACCGGAGCUAAUACCGGAUAAUAUUUUGAACCGCAUGGUUCAAAAGUGAAAGACGGUCUUGCUGUCACUUAUAGAUGGAUCCGCGCUGCAUUAGCUAGUUGGUAAGGUAACGGCUUACCAAGGCAACGAUGCAUAGCCGACCUGAGAGGGUGAUCGGCCACACUGGAACUGAGACACGGCCCAGACUCCUACGGGAGGCAGCAGUAGGGAAUCUUCCGCAAUGGGCGAAAGCCUGACGGAGCAACGCCGCGUGAGUGAUGAAGGUCUUCGGAUCGUAAAACUCUGUUAUUAGGGAAGAACAUAUGUGUAAGUAACUGUGCACAUCUUGACGGUACCUAAUCAGAAAGCCACGGCUAACUACGUG
rnacentral:rRNA from 1 species